rnacentral:rRNA from 1 species
GACGAACGCUGGCGGCGUGCUUAACACAUGCAAGUCGAACGGAAAGGCCUUUUCGGAGGUGCUCGAGUGGCGAACGGGUGAGUAACACGUGGGUGAUCUGCCCUGCACUCUGGGUUAAGCCUGGGAAACUGACUCUAAUACCGAAUAGGACGGCACUUUAGUGGGUGUGGUGGAGAGUGUUUUCUGUGUAGGAUGAGCCCGCGGCCUAUCCUCUUUUUUGUGGGGUAAUGGGCUAACAAGGCCGCGGCGGGGAGCCGGACUGAGAGGUUGGUCGGCCACAAUGGGGCUUGGAAAACGCCCCGAACCCUACGGGGGGGAACCGGGGGGAAUAUUGCACAAUGGGCCGAAGGCUGAUGCAGCGAAGCCGCGUGGGGGAUUAAGGCCUUCGGGUUGUAAAAUCGUUUCGGCAGGGAAGAAGCGGUUUGUGACGGUAACUGGAGAAGAAGCACCGGCUAACUACGUG